rnacentral:lncRNA from 1 species
GGCCCUGGACUGGGAGCACUGGGAGAACCCCAGAGUGGAACUGGGAGCACUGGGAGAACCCCAGGGUGGCACUGGGAGCACUGGGAGAACCCCAGGGUGGAACUGGGAGCACUGGGAGAACCCCAGGGUGGAACUGGGAGCACUGGGAGCAUCCCAGAGUGGCACUGGGAGCACUGGGAGAACCCCAGGGUGAAACUGGGAGCACUGGGAGAACCUCAGGGCGGGAUUUUGGGAACUGGGAGCACCCCAGGGUGGAACUGGGAGCACUGGGAGAACCCCAGGGUGGAACUGGGAGCACUGGGAGAACCCCAGGGUGGGAUUUUGGGGCACUGGGAGCAUCCCAGGGUGGCACUGGGAGCACUGGGAGCAUCCCAGGGUGGCACUGGGAGCACUGGGAGCAUCCCAGAGUGGGAUUUUGGGAAUUUAAAGCACUGGGAGCUCUCCAGGAUAGGAUUUUGGGGCACUGGGAGCACUGGGAGAACCCCAGAGUGGCACUGGGAGCACUGGGAGAAUCCNGGGAUCCCCCCGAUCCCAAAGGAUUUUUGGAAAGGGGAUCCCCUUGAUGGGACAGGGAUGGGACACUGGGAUGGGAUACUGGGAUGGGAUACUGGGAUGGGAUACUGGGAUGGGAUACUGGGAUACUGGGAUGGGAUACUGGGAUGGGAUAGGACACCGGGAUGGGACACUGGGACACUGGGAUGGGAAUGCAGGGAUGGGAUACUGGGAUGUGAUGGGAUACUGGGAUGGGACAGGGAUGGGAUACUGGGAUGGGAUGGGACACUGGGAUGGGACACUGGGAUGGGACACUGGGAUGGGACACUGGGACACUGGGAUGGGACACUGGGAUGGGACACUGGGAUGGGACACUGGGACACUGGGAUGGGACACUGGGACACUGGGAUGGGACACUGGGAUGGGAUACUGGGAUGGGAUGGGACACUGGGAUGGGAUACUGGGACACUGGGAUGGGACACUGGGACACUGGGAUGGGACACUGGGAUGGGACACUGGGAUGGGACACUGGGAUACUGGGAUGGGACAGGGAUGGGACACUGGGA